GACACGACGCAAAAUGCAUGCAUUGUACGCCGAACGAUCCCAUAGCACCCAGUCAGCCUUGCCCGAGAGCACACACUGCGAAACCUCAGUCCACUCCACUGUAUCGCCCCAGGGCUAUAACACAGCCUAAGCUGCCACCUUCCCUUGGGGUUUUGUCCAGCAAAGCAAACUGA
rnacentral:rRNA from 1 species